rnacentral:rRNA from 1 species
ACUAGCCACCUAAAUAUCUUAAAUGCACCAAAUCACAUCUGAUCUUGGAAGCUAAGCAGGAUAAGGUCUGUGUGCUUCAUAGAUGGGAGACUGCCAAGGAAUACUUGCUGCUGUAGGAU